rfam:Schistosoma haematobium scaffold1343_1, whole genome shotgun sequence.
AUCUAGUUGAUGAGUCUUAAAUAGGACGAAACCUGUAUCCUGGAU